rnacentral:rRNA from 1 species
GACGAACGCUGGCGGCGUGCCUAAUACAUGCAAGUAGAACGCUGAAGCGAGGAGCUUGCUCUUCUUGGAUGAGUUGCGAACGGGUGAGUAACGCGUAGGUAACCUGCCUUGUAGCGGGGGAUAACUAUUGGAAACGAUAGCUAAUACCGCAUAACAAUGGAUGACACAUGUCAUUUAUUUGAAAGGGGCAAUUGCUCCACUACAAGAUGGACCUGCGUUGUAUUAGCUAGUAGGUGAGGUAAUGGCUCACCUAGGCGACGAUACAUAGCCGACCUGAGAGGGUGAUCGGCCACACUGGGACUGAGACACGGCCCAGACUCCUACGGGAGGCAGCAGUAGGGAAUCUUCGGCAUGAGGGGCAACCCUGACCGAGCAACGCCGCGUGAGUGAAGAAGGUUGUCGGAUCGUAAAGCUCGGUUGUAAGUCAAGAACGGGUGUGAGAGUGGAAAGUUCACACUGUGACGGUAGCUUACCAGAAAGGGACGGCUAACUACGUG